CGAGCUUGGAACAGCUGAUACUGACAUGAAGUAACGUAAACUUCAAAGGUUUUCCACAGGAACAUUUUCUCGAACCCCCCCUUUACUGUAGAUGUAUCAUUAUACCAAAAUUGGACGUCCUCUUUUAGGACCCUGGCUAAAAGCCUGAUUGUAAGUGCAACGCCAAAGAUCUUCGGCGUGAGUUUGGCACAUUACAAUACUAUCUACAGUAAAUAUUGGCAUAUCUUCAGCGUAGAGGUUGCAUGAAAUGCACCCUGGGCUUUAUAGCCACUGUCAUCUUCCUUUGAGUUCCUUUAAAUAGUUCCUAUCCAAAAUAGCUGUCAUGCUCCCUCCUGCCCAUUCCCCAUCCCACCAUGCCCCUCCCCACCACAUACGCGAGCAUAUACCCCUGACAUACGUUAUAAAUUUGUCUGUCGUUUCAACGUCACCAGAAUGUUUAUCAGGAUGCAAAGCUUUCGCUUUUAUCUUGUAUUCUGUAACAAUUUGUUCCUCGCUUGAUAAUUCAUCACAGUCUAGAAGAUUGUACAAAUAAUCUUUGUGUUCCACAUUUUCUGCGAUUUCCAUUCUAGAAUUCCUUGGCACGAACUCCCAAAAUUUCUUCAAGUCACCUUGGGUGCACAAAUAAGUUAAAUUCGAUAUCUACAUAAAUGGCCAGAUGGGAAAUUCUUCCGUCAGCAAACCUCGGCAUGAAUUAGAAGAAUAGACCUAAUGUUGACACGACCCAAGAAACUGGUGUCUAGUAAACAAACAAAAAUGAAAAAUUACAAAAUGGCAGAAAACCAAGUCGCAGGAAUGGCAGGAACGUCGACUGUAGUAACUGAAACUAGCUCGCAUAAUGAGGUUAGAAAGUUAUAUUUUCUUUUUAAUAAGUCGUUGUACCGGACUAGUAUGUGUAAUAUAACGAAUUUCUAAUGUAAAAAGGAUGGCUAACGUUUUAUAAACAG